UAUUUCAUAGCAAAGAAACUUGUCUUAAUUGUUAGUUUGUAAUUGAUUCGCUUGGUUACAGAGACAAAGAACCGCACAAAUGGACUGUAUUUAAGCAAAUGUCUCGCACCAGUGUAACAAAUGCUUCAUCUUUCAUGAAAUGUUUGAGAAUUGAUCUUUUUGGUGGAUUUACAUGUACAUUAUCUGGAUUUGGUGACUAGAUUUCAAAGAGGAUUACCUGUUUUUAAUGGCUAAUUAAAAAAGACAGUGAUUCUAGAAAGUAAACAAAAUAAUUGCUUGUCAUAUGGAUGUCCAGAUUUCAUUAAUACUCGUGAUUACUCUUAAUGAUAAACCAAAAUAAUGUCCAGUCUAAUAAAGUCCCACUUGAUGAGACUUUAAAAAUCUUGUUCCUUGUCUGUAUUAUAAUAUUUUACUUAAUUUUAUUCAAAAAUCUCCAGCAAACGAUUUACCAUAACAACUAUCUUUAAACAUUUUUUUUAUUUUGCAGGACAUUAAGAUGAGUAAUAUGUUAAGGACGCACAAGAAGAAGUCGUUAGAAGCUCAGAAAUGUCACAAAAGUCGACCGAUAUUGUGGUAACCAAUCUGACUCAAGUUUCACUGAAUACAAAGAUAACUUAACAAUUUUGAGACCAAAAGAAUCUGAGUUUAUGGACAUUAUUUUAUCCAAAGUCUCACUUAAACAUCGUAAUAUAUGUGUUAUUGGAGACAAUUAAAGGUUAAUCACUACUACACGUUAUUAUUACACUAACAUGAUUUGUUAUUUCAUUGAUUCCAGCUUUACAGUAGCUUAGUUGAUUGAUGCAUUGACUUACAAACAGCUGUUGUAAAUCAGAUUGAAAUGAUUAGUAAAUUGACAGACUGAUUGAAUCAAAGCAAAUCUUUAUUCUCAAUGUUUUAAAAUACUGAUUACAUAGGGAUAAAUUGAAAGGAAACACGGAUCAUGAUGAAAAGGAAACAUCAGUUAAUUCAGAUUAGUCUUUCAUUUGCAUAUCCAAUUGUUCAAUUGGCUGGUUCUUUCUCGUGGUGUUCACACUGAUCCUCAGAUGGGUGGGAUUCUUCAUGGCAAUGGCCUCCAGCAUCUUUCUCAUCGCAUGGAUGUUCAUGGCAUUUGUCAGUUUCACAAACUGUGUCUUCACAAUGAGUAUCCUCGCAGCAAGGAUCAACA